rnacentral:lncRNA from 1 species
AUUCAAUAGUGGCGACACACCAGAUGAGUGUGGGGUGGCGUGUAAACGGCCGGGUUGAACUUUCUGCUGUGCAGCUAAUGGGUUAACCUCCGUGCCUGUCGGCUGUUAUCCUGGGACCGAGGAGAACGUGGCUGGGCAAAGCGGCUUUCACCACUGUCCCGUGAAAGAGCAUCCGUGCUGUGUCUGUGAAUGAGGAAGGAGGGCUACAGGGAAAGCAGGCUAUACGGGAUUCCUGUUGCAUGUCAAGGAAAUAGCAAAGAUGAAAUAAGAAUAAAAACUGAGCCCAGAUGCCUUCAUGUCUUCCUGAUGGUGGGAAAGCCCUUCGCCAUCUUCCUCCCCCACUUCUCUCCUCUCUUCC